GGAGAUUUGACCACAUCUCUGAACUAAGAGGAACGGAUGCAGGGUGUGAGGCGGGAAGACCAAUCCAAAACCCAGUUUAACAUGUGAGUCUUGAGAAUUACUUGAUCCGAAGGCUCCUGGGAAGGGGACCUGCUUUGCUUCACACCAAAUCUCCAAACAAAAGAAACAAGGUGUUGGUCUUACAGGUGGCUGCCUGUGUCGGCAAGCAAACGCACAUCCUGUCACUGGUGGAGAAGAGGGCCUUGCUGUUUUCCACACCCAUUCCAGACUUGCAAGAAAGAAAGUCUCCUCAGAAACUGGAAGGGAUCCAGAAGACAUGGGCAAACCUGCAGGUCUUUCUUGAGAGAGAACUGUGUUCUUUCAUUUCUCAGAUCUAUUGAAGCCUUGAGAAGAUUAAUUGAGGGACUGCUUGCCUCGGAGGCAUUUCAGGGAGGCAGGCUCAGUCCUGGAUCAGCAAUGUUCCAGGCUCUCUGGAGAGACAUACAUUAUACCCACCUGGGAACCUCGUGGGUAAAAUCCCCCCAACCACAGCUGCUGACCUGGGGCUUUGUGGAUCCUCUCAACACUUUUGGGCCUAAGAAACACAGUAACCAAAGCUCUGGGUAAACCCUUCCUUUCCUGUGAUGUCUUCGUAAUAAACUCGGGUGAA
rnacentral:lncRNA from 1 species